GAAAUUUCAGAUCGGUAUGAGACAGAGUGAUAGUGACAUUAUGCUACAUGUUUGUAAUAUGUUUUUACUGUCGAAUUAUGUAUUCACGGAUGUGACGGAUUUGACCUCGGAAGUAAGGCGGUGCUUCUUACUUUCCUUUCAUUUAUGAACUAAUGUUUAUCACCUGUAUUCUGCUACUGAUUUAAUUGAUAUAAUCUGAGUUCAAUGGCCAGCCUACAAUCCAUCUGUCUAUUAGUGUUGUUUGCAAAAGAUGUAGCCUCCCCUCAGAUGUCGAGCCAUCCCAUAAUUGGGAUAGUUGGGAAGUCCAUCCUGUUGCCCUGCAAACUGAAUUCAUCCACACCCAUUGACCUACAAACACUCAUUCUCCACUGGAUAUCUAAACCAAAUGACCAAGUUGUGCAUGCCUUCAACAAAGGAAGAGAGGACAACAGCCAUCAAGAUGUGACUUACAGAAAUAGAACACAAAUCUUCCAGGACCAGCUUCCCUCUGGGAAUUUCUCCCUUUUGCUCAAAGAUUUAAAGGUGGAUGAUGACCAAAAAACUUUUUUUCUCUAUCAUCAUCAAGAAGACCAAAGUGGCAAUACUGUAAUACAAAAUAACAAGUUGUGCCUCACCAAUGUAAAAGUAGCAAAAAGUUUCCAGACACCGGUUGUGAUGAUAAACUAUGAAGACAGGAAGGCAGAAUGUUCUAGUACUGGGGGAUAUCCUGAACCUACACUGACCUGGACCGACCAGAACGGCUUUCUGGACCAAGACAUUCCUCAGAUCAUCAGGGAUCCAGAAAGAGGAACAUUUAACAUUUCCAGCACGGUGAACAUUACAGAGAAUCUGAUUCUGACGUGUUCCAUCUUCAACCCAACACUGAAUGAGACCCUAAACACCACACAGACAACCAGUGAGUAUCCUAAUGUAGUAUG